rnacentral:lncRNA from 9 species
AGUGACUUCCGCCCCUAGGGAGCGACAGCUGUUCUUCCAGCUCUUUUCAGUGGGUAGCUGGUCUUCGGGGCUGUCACGGCUGUCCCCUAACCCUAUUGUUUCUGCCUUGGCGGGACAUUUGUUCUGCUUAGCUGCAGGGGUAUUGCCCUCAUUUUACGGGUUGGAAAACUGAGGGUGGAUGAAGACUAUAUAGCUAGUAGUGUAGUCGGAACUCAGUACAAUCGAAACUAAAUCUGAUUGUUGUCUCAAACGUGAUGUCCACGUCGUGUGAUGGACAUGAGGCCAGGCAGUAUUUUCAGAUUAAAUAUCUAUUGAGAGAAUGAGUGAAAGAGCUAGCCAUCGCUAGCCUCCACCUGGUACCUGAUGAGAAGAUGACCCGUGGCUCCUAUUCAUGGCAGAGGAGAUUAGCAUCUCAAAGGGCCAGAAGGCAUGGGCUGGAGCUCUCUCAGCUUCUGCGAUUGGCUUCAAAAAUCUCUUCCUAUCAUUUUGGACUAAUGGCAUUUGUCAUCCAGUGAAGGUUAGUGAAACCAAUGUUUGAUAACCACCUCCUCCACCCUGACCCUUUGUGGAUGUGCCAAGAGGCAGCUGCAAAACCGCUGAAAGCAUCUUAAAUGAUACAAUGCAAAGAGACUUCUGGUUAAAGAUGGUGGCUUCACGAUAUGUAUUUCCCUCUUCUCCCUCCUGAGACGCCACUACAGAAGUGAAAAAGGAAGCAAGUCACAAUGAUUCAAAGAAUGAAAGAUCAUUAGUGGUUUUCCCUUACAUAAGGCUGGGAGGAUAAUAGUUCCUACUGCAAAGGACUGCUUUCAGGACUAAUGGCGUACACAUCCUGGAAAAAACUUUUGUCUCUGGGGUUUGCUUUCUCUUGCUUGCUCUGAGGGAGGCCAGCUACCGUGUCCCAUCCCAUGGAAAGGCCCAGGUUCAAGGAACUGAGGAGAGCCUUCAGCCAGUGGCCAGUAAGGAAGUGAAUCCUGCCGAAGACCAGGGGAGUGAGUGUGGAAGUGGCUCCUCCUGCACUCGAGCCUUCAGAUGAGACUGUGACCUGGUGGACAGCUUGGUUGCAGCCUUGUGAGAGGACCCAGCUACGCCAUGUCCUGACUCCUGACCCACAGCAACUGUGAGGUCCAGCAAGUGUGAUGCUCAAGCUUGGGCCAUGAUUACCGCAAGAGAUUGAAGACAUUGGCUUUAUGGAAGAUGUGCACUGAACAUGCUCUGGGCACCAGUGGUCCAUUUAAGGGCUUAUUGCCUCCAGGAUACUUCUCUUGUCCACCUGAUGCAAAAUAAUUCCUCUCUAUGACGAUGUUCCAGCUGGAAUGAAGGAAGAAGUGGAUAAGAAAGGAUUCCCUCCCUUGAAGAUAUAACCUAGGAGUUCUGUGCAUCACUUCUGGUCAUUUCUCACUGGCAAGAACUCUUCUUAUGGUCACACAAGAGAGGCUGGCAAAUUUGGCUUUUAUUCUGAGAAACCCUAUGUCCAGCUGAAAAUGAAGGGAUCUGUUACUGUGGGAGAAAAGGAUAACAGAUAGUGGGAACAACUAGCAGCCUCGGCCACAGUCCAUCCCCUUGUUACCCAAACUUCCAUGUUCCAAAUCAUCCCUACACCAAAGGAGACAACUCCAAGAUUCCUUGUAGCUACUGAACCCAUAUCAAAGUCUACGAUCUCUGAGUAAGGCACAGUCCUCUCCAUUAGGUCUGUGUGCAGCUCGUUCUUCAUGGGGCAAUGACUUAAAAAAUGCAAGAUAAAUCAUCUGCCUCUCAGAUAGUCAAUAUACAACGAUGAAGCAGGGUCUGGAAAAUAAUAAAAAAUCCCAUUUGGAUGGAGGCAAAGGUGAAACACAGAACAGCAAAUGCCCCCUAACAAUGGACCAAACCCCAUGGCCCAUCCAGGAUCAUUCCCUGUCUUGGAGGAACUCUUGAGUUCAUCAUCUUUGAUGUCUUCUGGCCUUACCAUUUUGGAAUGUUCUUUCUUGUUCAUUAUCCGUCCUGGCCACAUUUGAGAUUGGCCAUUCAGAGCAGGUUCUCCUUUUGGACUAAAAAGCUUUUGGAACAUGUCAAGUCAAUCCUUUGUCAAACACCCAUAGUCAGCUCUUUUGUUUAGAAGAAAGAUUUUACACCUGAAGGGUCUGUUUUGAAUUUGCUUCUGUGCUUUGCUCAUUACUCUGUCUUUCAAGUUAGUGGCAGCUAACUAGUUGCACCUAAAACAAAGACUUCAUUCAUCUAAUCAUUUCCUUGAGGCUGGCUCCAAUUUUCUGGCAAAAAUAUCUUUUAAAAGAAGGUGUUGAAUAAAUUUGGAGGCCUGGUUUUUAUCUCCUGCUAAGUCUGGCACUGCAGCGCUCUCACUACUAAUAGCUGUAUUUUUGGGGUAUAGAAGCAAUUUUCAACUUUGAAAAACCCCAAACAAAUAAGCUCCUGGUCAAUUUAGAUUGUUAACCACAGGCAGAGUGUGUUGCAAUGCUAUAUUUUCUUUCAUUUCUAUUAACACACUGGCCAUCUUUAUUUUGGAUUUAUAUCUCUUCUUUAGGAUUUUGCUGAAAGCCACAAGAAGUGGUAACUCAGACCAACAUACUAUAUAUAUUAUAUAUGUAUUCCUCUAGCACUAUAGCCUCAUUGAAUGUGUGUUCUAUCUCCCAAAGCAGUGCCUCGCUAUAUUGCCAAAUGUUUAGUCUCUGGAUAACAAGGAUUACUAAAUUUCCAACUUGCAAUAUUUUGAGUCAACACUGCCCAUCACCCAGACAGUAUUCUGAAGUCACAUGGAUGUUUGUCUCUGUUAUGUUCAGCAUUCCACUUUAAGGUACCAAAAUUAGGUGAGUAUGUGCCUAGCAGAAAUAGUGGCUUUAACAGACAAACAGUUAUUUCUCAUAUAAAACGCUAGAAGUACCCAGUCCAGGUCUGCAAGAAGGAGGUUCUGCUCCAUGAAAUCCUUAAGGACUCAGGGUCUUUCUUUUUGCUUUACCAGUCUUUUUUAUUUUAUUUUUUGCUUUUUAGGGUCGCACCCCAGGCUAGGGGUUGAAUCAGAGCUGUACUGCCAGCCUACACCACAGCCACGGCAACUCGGGAUCCAAGCCAUGUCUGUGACCUACACCACAGCUCAUGGCAACGCCAGAUCCUUAACCCACUGAGCAAGGCCAGGGAUCGAACUUGCAACCUCAUAGCUCCUAGUCGGAUUCCUUAACCACUGAGCCACGAUGGGAACUCCUGCUCUACCGGUCUUUAAGGUGUUGCCCUUAUCCUUAUGCUUUAGAAGCACCACAACACAGAGUGAUUUGUUCUGGUUUGCCUGGGACUUUCUUGGUUUUAGCAUUGAAAGUCCCAUAUCCUGGGAAAACCCUCAGUGCUGGGAAAACGGGUACAGUUGUUCACUACUCUGUAUCCACCCCAGUUCGAUGUACUACAAUAUAGUUCUGAUGCCAAGCAUCUAGAGUUAACAUCAGAUCCCAGAAGUUAAGGGCUCAUUCUUUCACAAGACUUUCCCCUCUUUAGAUAGCAGCUGCAAAGGGGUCCCCAGGCCACGUGAACCAAUUGGCUGACAAAUUGGCUACCAGUCUAGGAGGUUCCCACCACUCCACACAGGGGUGAUAAUUUGCUAGAAUGAUCCAUAGAACUCAUUGAAAGAUGAUAUUUAUGAUUAUAGUUUCAAAAAGAUAUUCCUAGGAAGAGGUCUAGGAGGGUCUUGAUGCAGACCUUCCAUGCCCAAUGCCUGUGGAGUCAGGGUGCAUCAUCCUUCCAACAUGUCAAGGUGUGCACCAAUCAGGAAGCUCCUCCUAGCUUUGGUGGCCAGAGAUUUUAUUGGAGUUUCAUCACAUGUGUAUGAUUGAUUAAAUCAUUGACUUCAUGAUUAAACUCAAUAUCUAGCCCUCUGCCCCUCCCCAGAAGUUGGGUGGUUGAAAGUCCCAGCUCUUCCGUCAUGUACUUGGUCCUUCUGUGACCAGCCUCUGUGCUGAAGCUUCCUUCCAUCAGCAGGAAGGUGAAAAGUGUCAAGAAGUCAGUUUGAGGGUAUGAUCAGAAAACUGUACAUGUUACUUCUGUUUACAGUUCAUUGGCCAGCACUUCGACAAUGGCCAUUCUAAACAUGAGAGGUUGGGAAAGGUACUCUUCAUUCUGAGCACCCAUGUUCCAUGGGUUUUAUUUUUACAGGAAAAAGAAGAAUAGAUAGUGAGGUACAAUUCCCAGCCUAAGCCACAUUUUGUUCUUUGAUACUUUAUUAAGCCUGCACCUUGUGGUUGAUGUCCUGUUUUAGUUUGUAGGAUACUACGAGAUUGGUAUGCAGUAUUUCUAUUGCUUCUCAGUUCUAAAUAUUUUGUAAUUUCCCUUGUAAUUUCCUCUAUAACCAUGGGUCACUUAAAAUUUUUUUUCUUAAUUCACAAAAUGAUAAUUUCAUUUUUAGUAGGCAUUUUGUUGAUUUAAAAUUGAAAUCUCUUGCUAUCAUGGAAUAUGAACUUAGGAGAUCAAUUCUCUGAAAUUUAUUGACUUUGAGACAUACUACAUGAUCAAUUUUGGUAAAGUUUUGAUGGGAGCUCAAAAAAGUCUCUAUUGUCUGAUGUGAGAUCAAAAUAUGAGCUCUUACCACUGUGUUGAUCAAAAGUCCAUAUCUAUAUCUUUUUUCUCCAAAAAAGUAGGAUUACAUUGUAUAUAUUAUCUUGGAAAAUUCUUUUAAAAUGUAAUACUGUAUUAUGGAAAUAUUUCCAUAUUAAAUACCUGUGAGUUGGUACACAUCCUUAAUUAUUUAAUCAUUAUAAAGUUUGUGCCUGGGAUUGCUCCUUCAAAGGGAAUGCUCUUUAAAAAGGCUUUUUCUAAAUUAUUGCCACGAUUGGCAGUUUGCCCCCAAGAGGGGUCAAACCAAUUUUUACUUCCUUCAGUCCUGCAGAAUGUUGUCCAUUUUUCAUACCAUCUUGAUUAUUGUGUAUCAUCAUAAUUUUUUCUUUGCUGAUAGCCAAAGUACCUCCUUUUGCUGAUGAGAAAGAAGCUUUAAAACAUACAGCAGUUGGCAAAAAUAAAGCAGAGGGAGCUCCAGGAUGGAUUCUGACUCUCAUUUCCUGCCCAGGACAGGGGGUGGAAAAAAUGACAAAAAUCCAGCUGUGCCUCUCUUUCACAUCCAGAAUUGUGAAUUGUAGAAUUCAUUUAUUCUGUCCAGCACCAACUGGGCUGAAUCUUGUGAAAGAGAUCUCCUUCUCCUGAGGGAUGAAUCAAACCUGCCAAUAACUAUGCCUCAUCCAGGACACAAGAGCUUGACAAAUAUUUUUUUCGGCAAAUGUGUUUUCUUAGCAGGAAGCCGGUGAACAAUCAAGUGUCUCUUUUACUGGCUGUGUAGCUCAGCUGGAUCCUAGUAGCUCUGGUCUCUGCCCAAAUGUUUUUAGGACUUCCCUUCAGAAGCUGGCAGCACAGGGACCACCCACCUCUCUCAGUCAAGGUUAUUGGUCCUUUGGAAGCAGCAAUGUAACCACUUAGGUACAGAAACUAAAAUAACAAUUGAAUGUUCAUACUUCUGGUCCCAUUUGAGCCACACACCGCCUUGUGAGCUAAGAAUGAUUAUUGCUCUUUUGUAAACGAAUGCACUGAGGGUUAAAAAAGGGGAGGGAAAUUUUGUUGGUUUACACAGCUAGAAAGAGACCUUCCCUGACUACCUUCGUUAUAUAUAACCUGCUGUCCCCCGAAAGUCACCAUCAACAUUAGUCUAUUUUCUUAACACCACUGAUCACAAGGUGUAAUUACUGCCAUCUUUCUUUCCUGAUUGUGAGACCAGACUCCAAUCCGGUCCUCAUCUAGUUCUCAUGCGUUGUGCAGUCUCCUCCCACUGGAGACCCAUGCUGGUCCCUGUGACUAAUAGCACGUGGAAGAAACAAUGACAAAUGACUCUCAAGGUUACAUCAUAAAGGACACAACUCUGCCCCGCCUUAGGGAAUCCAGCAGCCUUGCCAGAGGGGUACUUAAGCACCCCAGGGAGAGGCCCACCUGAAGAGUAACUGGGGCCUCCUACAAACAACCAGCAGGAACUUGCCAGCUUGGCGAAUGGCCCACCUUGGAUGUGGACCCAUCAACCCAGUGAAGCCUUCAGAUGACUGCAGCCCGGAUGACUCUAACUGCAAUUUCACCAGAGACCUUUAGCCAGAACUGCCCAGUCACACUUCUCCUGAGUGCCUGGCCCACAUGGGAUCCCAUUUGAGAUGUUGGCAUUGAAAAUAUGAGACCUAAUAAAUGUUUA